rnacentral:lncRNA from 1 species
CUCGUAGCUCCACCAUUUUGCUACCCUGUCAAAGAAAGAGCAGUGUUACGGUUGUUGCCAGAAGCGUAACAGAAUGCAGUUCACUUAGUUAGAGAAAUACUACUCCCUCCUAUCCAUACUACUUGUGGCGGCUUUGGUACAACUUUGUACUAAAACUACGACAACUAAUAUGGAUCGGAGGGACUAUAAGAUUUGACCGUUUGUACUAGGGUGUAAGCUAUAAGUUCAACCGGAAAAAAAAUAAUGAAAAUUGGUUUCUUCGCAAAAAUGAAAUUCAGGCGUUUUUCUUUUCUUCCUGAAGGACAUAAGUACAUAGGUUGUGAUGAAAGCUACCGAUUCAUGGAACAAGGCACUACCAAGAAAUAGUUCAGCGCUGAACAUAGAUCAUAUUAUUGCCAUUUACGCCAGAAAUUGCAUGCGGUACUCAUUGUGAUAUUCCCAUGAAGCAGAUUGGAGGUAGUCACACAAAGACUUGCAACUAGCAUUUUCCAAGAGAUGGACAGAGAGGAGAUGAAGAUGGUUAUCCUGAGGCAAGAACAAACAUUCAGACAACAGGUAAGGCAACACACUCGUGUAAGCACUGUUCUAACUAUGUGUGCAUCUUCCAGUAGAAUAUGGCACACACCUUCAGAGUACAGCCAAGGAUCAGGCAUCAUCACCAACUUUUCCCUGGGCAAUUUCGUGAGUGUGUAUGCAGCUCUCCAUAGUCGGGGAAUUAACCAGAACAUGCAACGCCUUAACACAUAAGUCAAUUUCUCCAAUGCAUCAACAAAUGUGAGCAUACCCAUGUUUUAAAAGUAAUAGGCGUCUUCCCAUCCAAUAUGGUCCUGACAGGUUGGACAUAGGUUAAAACUAUAUAUGUAGCCCACUGAGCUCACUAGUCUGAAAGAGGCUAUAUCCUGAUGUCUCUCAUUCCCAAAGUAUAGUUCAAACCAGCCUCUGUAGCAUGCAGUUUGGUGUCUCCUACCUUGCAAACAAGGGAAAGUCUUUGCACAGAUUGUGAGUGUGACUUCCUAAGUAAUGGUAGGUUGCACCAUGCCCUCUCUGCGUCCUAUUUUAUAUCCAGUUGAUGGAGGUAAGAGUAGUGAUAGGUGUGAGGAAAUAGAGUACAAGCAAGUAGUUGAGACAUUACAACUAGUUUCUAGGAAGCAGUACUGCAUUAGUUGUGCACUUCAAUAUAGGUGAAAAAGCUUCUGACCAAAUCUGCACAUCUUUGCUGAACCAGGUUCAUGAGAUGCACCGAGUUUACCAUGUUCAGAAACAGCUGAUGAGGGAGACGCAGAUAGCUGGGAAGAACCAGGCUCACGCUGAGACGAAACCUAAGCUCGAGAUCUGGCGGGACGACAAAGCCGCCAACCGUCAGCAACUCUAUAGCUUCUCAAACAACUGCACCCCUGCCUCUGCUGCAGAAAAAUGCGACCUUGAGCUCACUCUGGCAACCGGGAGCAGCAGAAGCCACAAGGGAAAGCAAGUCGGCAAGUCUUCAAACUCAGACUCCGGGAUGGCGGUGUCAUCAACAUCGACCGAAUCCGAUCUGGCUCAGUUCAAGGAGUUUGACGCAAGGGCGGUGAGGUUUCAGACUGAGAGCUGGAGGUUUACCGUUGCCGAUGAGACGAAUCAGUCUCCUCCUUGGCUGCACCAGCCUGCGAUCCUGAGGGUGGCACGGUGACCGCUUUAGCUAGGAUUUGGUGUCGUAGAUUUCAGAGAAUGAAGAAGAGAUGUUGUCACAUCAUAGAGCUAAUUUGCUUCAACAAUUUGCAAUAGACACGAGAUGACCGCGUAACAGCCUCCAUCUUUCGGAGGCAUGUAUGUACGUUUAAUUUAGUUGUUUAGCAAAACCUCUGAACCAAGAACACAUUUGAUUCAGAAUUUCAGCCACGUUCAUAAGCAAGAUAAGCAUGCCGAAAUGUUCGUAUGCAAAAAAAACAAAUCACUGGACUUUUACGGAAUGAAUGAAGCUAUAACACAACAGAGAUUUGGAUUGUGUGAAUUACCCCAUGAAUAUUUGUAGGCGUUUGCUCAACCAACCCGUGAUCCAACUUGCAGCAAUAGCAACUACAGUAAGAACAAGAUACAGUGAAGCUAAAUCAACGGGGGAUCAAUUGCAAGGCUACAGCGGUGAGGGAGUUUGGCAAAUAAAUCCGCCCAGUGAUAAAUUACCUACGCAGUCAACACAGUCGCGCAGCUGCAUCAAUCACAUUAUCCCUCGGCAGCAGCAGCAGAACCCAAGAACAGACAACACAAUACGCGAAAGAAAAAAGAUGGAUGGAUGGAUGGAAGGAGAGCUCACCGUUGCUGUCUGGCGGCAGCAGUCAGCGGCGUGGCUAGAGAAGGUGUGAAACUGGAACGCGUCG